CUAAAAAAAGCAAAAAAAAAG
rnacentral:sRNA from 1 species